AGGGUAUGAAGGCUAUAACAUAGAGUUGGAGGCCUUAUUUCUGGGACAUCCAGAAAAUGCUAGUCAUCAUUAGCUCAUUGGCUUGCUUUCUGAUAGCUUUCUCUAGGCUAAGAAAUUCGAUGACUCAUCCUAGGGCUUUUCUUUUUGUUCCCCUUUGUAAUGCAAUCGAAAAGAGAUCAGAACCAAGUGAAAAAAGGUUUCAUAAGCAAACAUUAUUGUGGAAAUCAAGGGAGAGUGCCAUUUUAGAAAAGAUACAAUAGUUUCCGAUUCCCCCAAGCUUAGGGGUCAAUUACGGGGGGUAACCGGUCGAUCAACUCAUUUUUUGUGUCUUUUGCAACAUUAAGUUGAGUUAUGGUGAAAAGUUUGAGUUUUUCUGCAAUAUUAAGUUGAGUUAUGGUUAAAGUUUGUGUCUUUUGCAAAAUACAGUUGAAUUAUGUUGAAAAGUUUGUGCCUUUUCCAUCAUUCAGUUGAGUUAUGUCGAUAAUUUUGUGUCUUUUGUAUCAUUCAGUUGAAUUAUGUUGAAAAGUUUGUGUCUUUUUGCAACAUUCAGUAGAAUUGUGUUGAAAAGUUUAUUGUCUUUUGCAACAUCCAGUUAUAUUGUGUUGAAAAGUUUGUAUCUUUUCAACCACCUCCUCAACCAGUAAUCGAUUUUCCUCUGCCAGUUCCUCCACCUGGAGCAGUACUUGAACCUUCUGAAUACUAUGCUCAUGGCUAUCAGUCCGUUCCAGGUACCCCUUUUGCUCUCAUCUCAGAAUUCAUUCUGGAUUGAUUAAUUUUCUUGAAAUGAUUCAAUAAUUUGAUUUUGGGUGAAAAGUUUGUGUCUUUUUGCAAUAUUUAGUUGAAUUGUGUUGAAAAGUUUGUCUUUUUGCAAUAUUAAGUUGAGUUAUGGUGAGAAGUUUGUGUUUUAUGCAAUAUUAAGUUGAGUUAUGGUAAAAGUUUGUAUCUUUUGCAAUAUUCAGUUGAAUUAUGUUGAAAAGUUUGUGCCUUUUGCAUCAUUCAGUUGAGUUAUGUCGAUAAUUUUGUGUCUUUUGUAUCAUUCAGUUGAAUUAUGUUGAAAAGUUUGUGUCUUUUGCAACAGUCAGUAGAAUUUUGUUGAAAAGUUUAGUGUCUUUUGCAACAUCCAGUUAUAUUGUGUUGAAAAGUUUGUAUCUUUUCAACCACCUCCUCAACCAGUAAUCAGUUUUCCUCUGCCAGUUCCUCCACCUGGAGCAGUACUUGAACCUUCUGAAUACUAUGCUCGUGGCUAUCAGUCCGUUCCAGGUACCCCUUUUGUUCUCAUCUCAGAAUUCAUUCUGGAUUGAUUAAUUUUCUUGAAAUGAUUCAAUAAUUUGAUUUUGGGUGAAAAGUUUGUGUCUUUUUGCAAUAUUUAGUUGAAUUGUGUUGAAAAGUUUGUCUUUUGCAAUAUUAAGUUGAGUUAUGAUAAAAGUUUGUGUUUGCAAUAUUCAGUUGAAUUAUGUUGAAAAGUUUGUGC
rnacentral:lncRNA from 1 species